rnacentral:rRNA from 1 species
UACGUAGGGUGCGAGCGUUGUCCGGAAUUAUUGGGCGUAAAGGCUCGUAGGCGGUUUGUCGCGUCGGGAGUGAAAACACUGGGCUUAACUCAGUGCUUGCUUCCGAUACGGGCAGACUAGAGGUAUUCAGGGGAGAACGGAAUUCCUGGUGUAGCGGUGAAAUGCGCAGAUAUCAGGAGGAACACCGGUGGCGAAGGCGGUUCUCUGGGAAUGACCUGACGCUGAGGAGCGAAAGUGUGGGGAGCGAACAGG